rnacentral:misc_RNA from 1 species
CAAUAAGCUUCCAAGGCCAUCCUGCAGAAAAAUUAAAUACAUUAGUUCCAGCCAUUUUUCAACGCAUGGCAACUUAUAAUAUCAUUAAAAAAAAAUUUUUUACUCUUAAAAUUGACAGGUAUCUUUGUAUCUAUCAGACUAUGACAAUAAAAGAGAAUCUAGCAUUUUCAUUAAUCUGGAACUUAAAAUUCCACAUGUACCAGUAUCACUGAAUGCAACAAUAGUUACAGGGAAAAUAAG